rnacentral:rRNA from 1 species
GUGCCAGCAGCCGCGGUAAGACGUAGGGCGCGAGCGUUGUCCGGAUUUAUUGGGCGUAAAGGGCUCGUAGGCGGUUGAUUGCGUCCGCCGUGAAAGGCCUCGGCUUAACCGGGGUUUUGCGGUGGAUACGGGUCGACUUGAGGCAAUUAGGGGAGAUCGGAAUUCUACGUGUAGCGGUGAAAUGCGCAGAUAUGUGGAGGAACACCGGUGGCGAAGGCGGAUCUCUGGGAUUGUUCUGACGCUGAGGAGCGAAAGCGUGGGGAGCGAACAGGAUUAGAAACCCCCGUAGUCC